rnacentral:rRNA from 1 species
GGACCUACGGGACGCAGCAGUGGGGAAUAUUGCACAAUGGGGGAAACCCUGAUGCCGCGACGCCGCGUGAGUGAAGAAGUAUUUCGGUAUGUAAAGCUCUAUCAGCAGGGAAGAAAAAAGACGGUACCUGACUAAGAAGCCCCGGCUAACUACGCGCCAGCAGCCGCGGUAAUACGUAGGGGGCAAGCGUUCUCCGGAUUUACUGGGUGUAAAGGGAGCGUAGACGGCGCGGCACGUCUGGAGUG